rnacentral:rRNA from 1 species
AACCGAGAUUUCCCAAGUAGCGGCGAGCGAACGGGAAAGAGCCCAAAAGUAUAAUAUGUUCAAGUAGAACUGCAUGGAAAGGCAGAGGGGACAGAGUGAUACUCUCGUAUACGUAAGAGCAUAAUAUAUGAGCGUGAGUAGGGCGGGACACGUGGUAUCCUGUCUGAAUAUGGGGGGACCAUCCUCCAAGGCUAAAUACUACCUGACGACCGAUAGUGAACCAGUACCGUGAGGGAAAGGCGAAAAGAACCCCUGUAAGGGGAGUGAAAAAGAAUCUGAAACCGUGUGCGUACAAGCAGUGGGAGCCCGAAAGGGUGACUGCGUACCUUUUGUAUAAUGGGUCAGCGAGUUAUCUGUAUUAGCGAGGUUAACUUUGAUGAGGGAGCCGUAGGGAAACCGAGUCUUAAUAGGGCGAGAAGUUGAUGCAGGUAGACCCGAAACCGAGUGAUCUAGUCCUGGACAGGCUGAAAGCAGGGUAACACCUGCCGGAGGGCCGAACCUACUGUCGUUGCAAAGCCAGAGGAUGAUCUGGGACUAGGGGUGAAAGGCCAAUCAAACCCGGUGAUAGCUGGUUCUCCCCGAAAGCUAUUUAGGUAGCGUCCUGCAGGGGCGUAUGGGGGUAGAGCACUGUUAUAGGAAGGGGUUCAUUGCGAACUACCGACCUAUUGCAAACUACGAAUACCAUACAGUUGUAAGCAGGGGACACACAGUGGGUGCUAACGUUCAUUGUGAAGAGGGAAACAACCCGGACCGCCAGCUAAGGUCCCAAAGUUCUGAUUAAGUGGGAAACGAUGUGGGAAGGCAUAGACAGCCAGGAUGUUGGCUUAGAAGCAGCCAUCAUUUAAAGAAAGCGUAAUAGCUCACUGGUCGAGUCGGCCUGCGCGGAAGAUGUAACGGGGCUCAAAUCAGACACCGAAGCUGCGGAUUUGUACUUAGGUACAAGUGGUAGGGGAGCGUUGUGUAAGCCUGAGAAGAUGUACUGGAAGGUAUGUUGGAGGUAUCACAAGUGCGAAUGCUGACGCAAGUAACGAUAAAACGAGUUAAAUGCUCGUUCGCCGGAAGACCAAGGUUUCCUGUCCAACGUUAAACGGGGCAGGGUUAGUCGGAACCUAAGGCGAGGAUGAAAAUCGUAGUCGAAGGGAAACGGGUUAAUAUUCCCGUACUUGGAUAUGUUGCGAUGAGGUGACGGAGGAGGUAAGGUUAGCCAGCCGAUGGUUGUGCUGGUGAAAGGCAGUAGGUAGUAAGAAGGGUUAAAAGACUUUUUACGAUAAUCUGAGAGCCGAGACGAAUUAACUACGGUUAAGAAGUAACCCUAUCCAGACUUCCAGGAAAAGCCUCUAAGCUACAGACAUAUACAAUCCGUACCCCAAACCGACACAGGUGGUCGGGUAGAAGAUACCAAGGCGCUUGGGAGAACCCGGGUGAAGGAACUAGGCAAAAUUGUACCGUAACUUCGGGAGAAGGUACGCUGUGGUUUGUAAUAAGAUUUACUCUUAGAGCGAGCUGCAGCCGCAGAUAAAUGGUGGCUGGGACUGUUUAACAAAAACAUAGCACUCUGCAAACCUGAAAGGGGAAGUAUAGGGUGUGACACCUGCCCGGUGCCGGAAGGUUAAAUGAUGAGGUUAGAGCAAUCGAAGCCUCUGAGUGAAGCCCCGGUAAACGGCGGCCGUAACUAUAACGGUCCUAAGGUAGCGAAAUUCCUUGUCGGGCAAGUUCCGACCUGCACGAAUGGUGUAACCAUGGCCACGCUGUCUCCACCCGGGACCCAGUGAAACCGAAAUCGCUGUGAAGAUGCAGUGUACCCGCGGCUAGACGGAAAGACCCCGUGAACCUUUACUGCAGCUUGACACUGAACCUUGAACCUGUUUGUGCAGGAUAGGCGGGAGACUUUGAAGUAGAGACGCCAGUCUUUAUGGAGUCGACCUUGAAAUACCGCCCUGAUAUGUUUGAGGUUCUAACUUGAAGGUAACAGCCUUAAGGACAGUGUCUGGUGGGAAGUUUGACUGGGGCGGUCUCCUCCCAAAGAGUAACGGAGGAGCACGAAGGUCGGCUGAUCACGGUCGGAAACCGUGAGGUCAGUGCAAUGGCAAAAGCCGGCUUGACUGCGAGAGCAACAACUCGAGCAGGUGCGAAAGCAGGUCAUAGUGAUCCGGUGGUUCCAUAUGGACGGGCCAUCGCUCAACGGAUAAAAGGUACUCUGG